GGGUGGAUCAGUGGCUCUCACCUCUGCCGUCAAUAGCCCACAGAAAAUAUUUCACCAGCAAUGCUUAGGGGAACAGCUUCUUUCAGGAGAAGAGUCAAGAAUAGAAUGGACAUGGAGCAUUAGUUCUUGGAUGAGUCCCUGUGGUGUAUGCAUGGGAAGGAACACAGGAGAAAGUUUUGCUGCUGCUACCAGGUUUGUACCUGUUCUUCAAAUCAAGCAACAUGUCUAGAGCUGUCAGUUUGGCUCCUUUCACCAGCAUUAAACACCACUAUAAAACACCAAAGCCUAGUGCUAGGACUAAAGUGGAACAUUUACCAGCUUCCUUGGAAGAGACAGGAUUCUUCUUCUGUGUAUUUGUACAAGUCAAAAAAAGCUAUUUUUUAAUAUGAACACACCACAGAUAUUUGACUUGACCCAUCCUCAAUUCAUACACUAGGGAAAGCACAUGAAAUGUGUGUUCUGUUCCCACUUGAAAGAGAUCUUUCUUUGGAGUUAUCCUUUAAUGUCAGCCUCAAACAAUUGGCAGGGCAUUUCUUAUUCCAGUGUGGAGAGAUCAGCGGGACCCUGUGAAAGAUAAUGCAGGAUUCCAACAUAAUCAUGGGUGCUUGUAUAAGGAGAAUCGGUGACUCUGUUCCCCCCCUUUGCGACGUGGCAUUUUUGCAUACCCAUGAGAGCGCUCCCUUCCUCGGGGAUCUCAAAGGUUGGGGGGCUUUGAACUCCACUUCAAAGCUGGGGGCUUGAAAUGAGGUAUUUGUAAACCCAAAGGAACAGCAAAUAUUUGCAGGAACUGAUUAGCCCCCUCACCACCUUGAUGGGCAACUGUACAAGAUGGCUGGACAGAGUUCAGCAAGCUUUGAAGUGUACCUUGAAAGUUCACAGGGUCUCUUUAGAUCUGUACAAUACUUACAUUUUCCAUAGAAACUCAAGAGGACAACUUCUUGUUCAGCUUUGUGCAGCCUGUCAGCUUUUUCUGGUCAGGUAUAAAUGGUAAAAGUCAAGAGCUGAAUUCUGUUACUGAUGCUAAUGUAAAUUCAGAGUCACUCCAAUUAAUCAGUAGGGUUACUCCAGGUUCACACCAGUUGUUUUGUAUACUGAGAAUGGAACCUACCCCAUUGUUGUUCUAGCUGGUUUGAUUUACGUAUGGAAAUAGGACUGGAAGGGGACUCUUGAGUUGCUGAGUCGAGUCCUUUGUUGUCAAAGACAGUAUCACAUAAUCACUUUAAUAAAUGUAUUAACUUCUAGC